rnacentral:rRNA from 1 species
GACGGAACCGUGCAGACGUUGUUCGGAAUCACUGGGCAUAAAGGGCGCGUAGGCGGCUUUUCAAGUCAGGGGUGAAAUCCGGCAGCUCAACUGUCGAAGUGCCCUUGAUACUGAUGAGCUCGAGGGAGGUAGGGGUGUGUGGAACUGCGAGUGUAGAGGUGAAAUUCGUAGAUAUUCGCAAGAACACCAGUGGCGAAGGCGGCUCACUGGACUGGUACUGACGCUGAGGCGCGAAAGCGUGGGGAGCAAACGGG